GACUUUCCUUACCACCAACGGCAGUGAGACAUCAAUCAACACUCCCGAGAUUCAAAGGAAAAAGUCUCAUGAAGAAAGGAAGGAGACCAAGAGCUUCAAUAUUGAGAAAUAUGCAUCUGAGGCAUUGAAGGAUCAGAAAGAACUGUCUCUGUCAUGGUUGGAACGACCAGAACUGAAACUGCAGAUGAAGGAGACAAAACAAGCAGCAAAUCCGGUCAAAUCACAUCAAACCCAAAAGAAAUCGAAACUAGAGAGACUAAAACAAAGAAAACUCGGUUGGUGCUGAAAAAGCCAACGGAACCAGUAACCCUAAACGGCGGCGGUAGAGAUUUUUGUAG